CUGAAGAUGAGACAAACCACUAAAAUUCAUAAAACUAAUUAAGUGCAAAAGAAAUUUAAAUUAUGUAUCCGGGGUUUAUACAAGACAAAAACAUAUGGGAAGCUGGAUUUCAGGACAAAAAAACCCCUUAAAUUCUCUGGAAAAUAGCCAAAAUUCUAGGGUCAACCUAUGAUUUUCAAAGGUUAUGAAAGUGGUGGGAUUUAAGUCAAGAUAGCUAAUGGUCAAAGAGGACUUGGUAAUAUCUGAGUUCCAGGUGGAAUGAAUGGAAAAUUGGCCAAAGAGGAAUCUGAAGGCCUAGGAAGGUGCAGGGUUCUAUGGGGCUCAAUAGCGGGGGAGGGGUGGUAGUCCAGUCUGCUCCUCUGACUGUUCCCUCCCUCAUUCUCAGGAACCCUUUGUGACAAGGUCACAGCUCUGUGAUGCAGGCCUGGGGUUCUGUCUUCAAGUAAAUUCCCAGUGCUCAGUUGCCUGAGGGCAGCAGUGCGAUUCCAAAGAUGGAGAAUUUCUUUUCUCUGAGAAGCACUGGUACCACCUGGCUGAGCUCCAGUCCCACCUCCUGGGUGAUUGAUACCAUCAUUGCUUUCCUGUGUGGACUUGGGCUGUUUCUUCUGUUGCUCCCCUGCUUUCAGAGUAAUCAGCCCUUACCACCAGCUAGGAAAUAUAUAAACACCAGGAAGCAUCAAGUGGAGCUGAGGAAGAGGAACAGGAGUAAGAAGAAAAGUGGAGCUUUGAAAGCUUGCAGAAAUUGCCUGAAAGAACUGGAGGGAGCUCGCAGCCUGAUUUCACUUCUGCAAGGGAACUUUUGAGCUCAUGACAAGUUUCACAGCAAAAGACUUCCCGACGGAUAUAUUGAUUGUUCAUCCCCUGAAAAAUAGAAGAAAAAACAAAUCCCAGUUCUUCAAAUAAAACCACUCUAAUUUUGGAGUGAUGAGAGGUGAGUUUAUUUAUUUAUUCAUGAGAGACACACAGAGAGAGACAGACAGAGAGAGUGAGAGAGAGAGAGAGGCAGAGACACAGGCAGAGGGAGAAGCAGGCUCCAUGCAGGGAGCCUGAUGUGGGACUCGAUCCCAGGACUCCAGGAUCUCACUAUGGGCUUAAGGCAGGCACUAAACCGCUGAGCCACCCAGGCAGGUAUCCUCAAAAGGUGAGUUUAAAUCCAGCCCCUGCCAUUUAUACUUUUUGUGAUUGUAGACAGAUUUCACGAUCACCAUGAUUUUGUUUCCUCAAUUGCAAAUGGGAAUAUAACGAUUGUCAGAAAAUGUAAAAAAAUUGAAAUGAAAAAAAUUUUAAAG
rnacentral:lncRNA from 1 species